rnacentral:rRNA from 1 species
UGGGGAAUUUUCCGCAAUGGGCGCAAGCCUGACGGAGCAAUACCGCGUGAGGGAGGAAGGCUUUUGGGUUGUAAACCUCUUUUGUUAAGGAAGAAGCAAGUGACGGUACUUAACGAAUCAGCAUCGGCUAACUCUGUGCCAGCAGCCGCGGUAAUACGGAGGAUGCAAGCGUUAUCCGGAAUCAUUGGGCGUAAAGCGCGCGUAGGCGGCUAUCCAAGUCAGGGGUGAAAUCCCGGGGCUCAACCCCGGAACUGCCCUUGAAACUAGGUAGCUAGAAUACUGGAGAGGUGAGUGGAAUUCCGAGUGUAGAGGUGAAAUUCGUAGAUAUUCGGAAGAACACCAGUGGCGAAGGCGACUCACUGGACAGUUAUUGACGCUGAGGUGCGAAAGCGUGGGGAGCAAACAGGAUUAGAUACCCCCGUAGUCC